AAAAAAAACAAACCUAAGUUUUCGUGUUCAACGUUUGACCGUUCGUCUUAUUUAAAAAAAUUAUAAAAAAAAUUAAAAAGAUAAGUCACACAUAAAGUAUUAAUCAUGUUUUAUCAUCUAACAACAAUAAAAAUACUAAUUAUAAAAAAAUUUCAUGUAAAAUGGACAGUCAAACGUUGGACACGGAAACCAGGGUUUAUCUUUUU
rfam:Oryza meridionalis cultivar OR44 (W2112) chromosome 6, whole genome shotgun sequence.